rnacentral:tRNA from 2 species
GCUCCCGUAGCUCAGGUGGAUAGAGCGACCGCCUCCUAAGCGGUAGGUCGUGCGUUCGAGUCGCGCCGGGAGCA